rnacentral:rRNA from 1 species
CGCUGGCGGCAUGCCUAAUACAUGCAAGUCGAGCGGACUUAAUGAGAAGCUUGCUUCUCUGAUAGUUAGCGGCGGACGGGUGAGUAACACGUAGGCAACCUGCCCUCAAGCUUGGGACAACUACCGGAAACGGUAGCUAAUACCGAAUAGUUGUUUUCUUCUCCUGAAGAAAACUGGAAAGACGGAGCAAUCUGUCACUUGGGGAUGGGCCUGCGGCGCAUUAGCUAGUUGGUGGGGUAACGGCUCACCAAGGCGACAAUGCGUAGCCGACCUGAGAGGGUGAUCGGCCACACUGGGACUGAGACACGGCCCAGACUCCUACGGGAGGCAGCAGUAGGGAAUCUUCCGCAAUGGGCGAAAGCCUGACGGAGCAAUGCCGCGUGAGUGAUGAAGGUUUUCGGAUCGUAAAGCUCUGUUGCCANGGAAGAACGCUUGGGAGAGUAACUGCUCUC